AGUGAACGCUGGCGGUAGGCCUAACACAUGCAAGUCGAACGGCAGCACAGUAAGAGCUUGCUCUUACGGGUGGCGAGUGGCGGACGGGUGAGGAAUACAUCGGAAUCUACUUUUUCGUGGGGGAUAACGUAGGGAAACUUACGCUAAUACCGCAUACGACCUACGGGUGAAAGCAGGGGAUCUUCGGACCUUGCGCGAUUGAAUGAGCCGAUGUCGGAUUAGCUAGUUGGCGGGGUAAAGGCCCACCAAGGCGACGAUCCGUGGCUGGUCUGAGAGGAUGAUCAGCCACACUGGAGCUGAGACACGGUCCAGACUCCUACGGGAGGCAGCAGUGGGGAAUAUUGGACAAUGGGCGCAAGCCUGAUCCAGCCAUACCGCGUGGGUGAAGAAGGCCUUCGGGUUGUAAAGCCCUUUUGUUGGGAAAGAAAAGCAGCAGGUUAAUACCCCGCUGUUCUGACGGUACCCAAAGAAUAAGCACCGGCUAACUUCGUG
rnacentral:rRNA from 1 species